GUGGGAUUAGCUCAAUGGUAGAGCACCGCACUGUGGAUGCGGUGGUUGUGGGUUCAAAACCCAUAUCCCACC
rnacentral:tRNA from 1 species